rnacentral:rRNA from 1 species
AUUGAACGCUGGCGGCAGGCCUAACACAUGCAAGUCGAACGAGUGGCGGACGGGUGAGUAAUGUCUGGGAAACUGCCUGAUGGAGGGGGAUAACUACUGGAAACGGUAGCUAAUACCGCAUACCAUCGGAUGUGCCCAGAUGGGAUUAGCUAGUAGGUGGGGGAAAGGCUCACCUAGGCGACGAUCCCUAGCUGGUCUGAGCGGAUGACAAGCCACACGGAAAUGGAUACACGGGCCAGACUCCUAUGGGAGGCAGCAGUGGGGAAUAUUGCAGAAUGGGCGGAAGCCGGAUGCAGCCAGGCCGCGUGUAUGAAGAAGGCCUUCGGGUUGUAAAGUACUUUCAGCGGGGAGGCGUUACCCGCAGAAGAAGCACCGGCUAACACCGUGCCAGCAGCCGCGGUAAUUC